UACGGAGGAUGCGAGCGUUAUCCGGAUUUAUUGGGUUUAAAGGGUGCGUAGGUGGUUUGAUAAGUCAGCGGUGAAAUCCUGGAGCUUAACUCCGGAACUGCCGUUGAAACUGUCGGACUUGAGAGUGAACGAGGCAGGCGGAAUUCGUAGUGUAGCGGUGAAAUGCAUAGAUAUUACGAAGAACCCCGAUAGCGCAGGCAGCUUGCCAGGCCACGACUGACACUGAAGCACGAAAGUGUGGGUAUCAAACAGGAUUAGAUACCCUGGUAGUCCACACAGUAAACGAUGAAUACUAACUGUUUGCGAUAUACAGUAAGCGGUACAGCGAAAGCGUUAAGUAUUCCACCUGGGGAGUACGCCGGCAACGGUGAAACUCAAAGGAAUUGACGGGGGCCCGCACAAGCGGAGGAACAUGUGGUUUAAUUCGAUGAUACGCGAGGAACCUUACCCGGGCUCGAACGGUAUCUGAAUGAUUGUGAAAGCAGUCAGGCCGCAAGGACAGAUAUCGAGGUGCUGCAUGGUUGUCGUCAGCUCGUGCCGUGAGGUGUCGGCUUAAGUGCCAUAACGAGCGCAACCCUUAUCUUUAGUUACCAUCAGGUCAAGCUGGGGACUCUAGAGAGACUGCCGCCGUAAGGUGUGAGGAAGGUGGGGAUGACGUCAAAUCAGCACGGCCCUUACGUCCGGGGCGACACACGUGUUACAAUGGAUGGGACAGAAGGCAGCUACCAGGCGACUGGAUGCUAAUCCCCAAACCCAUUCCCAGUUCGGAUCGGAGUCUGCAACUCGACUCCGUGAAGCUGGAUUCGCUAGUAAUCGCGCAUCAGCCAUGGCGCGGUGAAUACGUUCCCGGGCCUU
rnacentral:rRNA from 1 species